CGGAACGGGUGAGUAACGCGUGAGGAACCUGCCGUCUACUCUUGGACAGCCUUCUGAAAGGAAGAUUAAUACAAGAUGGCAUCAUGAGUCCGCAUGUUCACAUGAUUAAAGGUAUUCCGGUAGACGAUGGGGAUGCGUUCCAUUAGAUAGUAGGCGGGGUAACGGCCCACCUAGUCUUCGAUGGAUAGGGGUUCUGAGAGGAAGGUCCCCCACAUUGGAACUGAGACACGGUCCAA
rnacentral:rRNA from 1 species